AGCAGCCGCGGUAAUUCCAGCUCCAAUAGCGUAUAUUAAAGUUGUUGCAGUUAAAAAGCUCGUAGUUGAAUUUCGGGGUCAGCAGGUUGGUCGUGCCAAUGGUAUGCACUGGCCUUGCUGAUUCCUCCCUCUUGAUGAGCCGUAAUGUCAUUAAUUUGGUGUUGCGGGGAAUCAGGACUGUUACUUUGAAAAAGUUAGAGUGUUUAAAGCAGGCAAGCGCUUGAAUACAUUAGCAUGGAAUAAUGAAAUAGGACGUUUGAUCCUAUUUUGUUGGUUUCUAGGAUUGACGUAAUGAUUAAUAGGGAUAGUUGGGGGCAUUAGUAUUCAAUUGUCAGAGGUGAAAUUCUUGGAUUUAUUGAAGACUAACUACUGCGAAAGCAUUUGCCAAGGAUGUUUUCAUUAAUCAAGAACGAAAGUUAGGGGAUCGAAGACGAUCAGAUACCGUCGUAG
rnacentral:rRNA from 1 species